AGCGAACGCUGGCGGCAGGCCUAACACAUGCAAGUCGAACGAAGCCUUCGGGCUUAGUGGCGGACGGGUGAGUAACACGUGGGAACGUACCUUUUGGUUCGGAAUAACGCAGAGAAAUUUGCGCUAAUACCGAAUGAGCCCUUCGGGGGAAAGAUUUAUCGCCGAAAGAUCGGCCCGCGUUGGAUUAGGUAGUUGGUGUGGUAAAGGCGCACCAAGCCUACGAUCCAUAGCUGGUCUGAGAGGAUGAUCAGCCACACUGGGACUGAGACACGGCCCAGACUCCUACGGGAGGCAGCAGUGGGGAAUCUUGCGCAAUGGGCGAAAGCCUGACGCAGCCAUGCCGCGUGAAUGAUGAAGGUCUUAGGAUUGUAAAAUUCUUUUACCAGGGACGAUAAUGACGGUACCUGGAGAAAAAGCCCCGGCUAACUUCGUGCCAGCAGCCGCCGCGGUAA
rnacentral:rRNA from 1 species